GGAGAGAUGUCCGAGUGGUUGAAGGAGCUCGCCUGGAAAGCGUGUGUACGUUAAUAGCGUACCGAGGGUUCGAAUCCCUCUCUCUCCGCCA
rnacentral:tRNA from 1 species